UGUAAAGAAUAAAAGUAAAAUCAUUUAAACAGGUUUAAAUUCCCAUUUUCUUCUCAGAACUCUGAGGCUGUUCAGGAUGAAGAUCAACAGUUUCCAUCACUGAAAGACAACCAGUUUUCUGAACAGGAGCUCAUCUCUGCGCGCUCUGCAUUGCUUCACUCACUGGAGGAUGGAGGUAGUUCAUCUGGAACUUUAGCUGGUUAUUCUGGUGAACUUAGUCCCAGGAAACCAGACCAGGGCAAAGAGUCUGAGGGGUCUGCGGCCAGCUUUGAGGAAAAUCUUAACGCAAAGAAGACAAUCCAGAGGACAGAGGAAAGUGAGGAGGUCAGUCCCACUGGGAGGACUGAUGGGGAAUGUCCUCCAAAACAUAAAUGCUCAGAGGAGUCCUUUCCUUCAGAUGAGAGUUUGAGUGAAGCAUGCAGACUCUGUGACUCUGAUAUCGAGACAAACACAAAUGCUGCUGGAGCUUCUGGGGGGCGUGUCCAUGUUCAGAUAGUUCAGGGAACCAUCGAGACUCAGGAGACAGACGCUCUGGUGUCUCCCAUGGUCGGCUAUAAACACCUGUCUACUCGUCUUGGAAACAUCCUAGAAAACAUAGUUGGCUCUCGUCUCACUGAAAACUUCAUAGAAGCAUCAGGAGACGAAUGGAUCCCGGGGAACUUUGUGCUGGUAGAGGGACUCCCUGGACUUCCUUCCAGCGCAGCGUUCUUCCUCGAUCUCAUUCCAUGGAAUGAAGAUGAAGAUGGAACUGCAGUUCAGGUGGGAUCUUCUUUCUGGAGGUCACUCUGUGAGAAUAGUGUCCGUCAAACAAACAAACUCAUUGGGCUGUUUUUGAUUGCCUUCAGAUUCUAAGGUCAGGGAUCAACAACAUCCUAACUUCCUGUGACGACAAAGGCUUCAGAUCUGUGGCUCUUCCUGCACUCGGAGAUGGAAUUGUCCUGGGUUUUCCUAUCAGUUUGGUAGCCAGAGUCAUACUAGAGGAGCUUUAUAAAUAUGAACGUGAGCGAGUCAGCAGCACAGACCUCUCAGUUCGUAUUGUCCUUCUGCCUGAAAACAAAAAAGCUAUAGAGGUGAGAAAAACUGAUUUUGCAGCUUUAAAAGUUUACUAAAUAUUUUACAACUUUUUGCUGUCUUUCUUUACAACAAAAGCGAAAAUAUGUGUCGUGUGUUACUUGAGAGCAUCCUCUACGUCAGACAGUUCUGUAGAUCUGAAGUAAACAGAGACUCCAGACAUUCCAAACCUCAUAUAAACUGAGAAUAGGUCUUAAAAUGACAAAGAAAGAUCAGACAGAAUAGUAAAGGUUCAAAAUGAUUU
rnacentral:lncRNA from 1 species